rnacentral:rRNA from 1 species
AUUGAACGCUGGCGGCAGGCUUAACACAUGCAAGUCGAGCGGGGUGAUGGUGCUUGCACUAUCACUUAGCGGCGGACGGGUGAGUAAUGCUUAGGAAUCUGCCUAUUAGUGGGGGACAACAUCUCGAAAGGGAUGCUAAUACCGCAUACGUCCUACGGGAGAAAGCAGGGGAUCACUUGUGACCUUGCGCUAAUAGAUGAGCCUAAGUCGGAUUAGCUAGUUGGUGGGGUAAAGGCCUACCAAGGCGACGAUCUGUAGCGGGUCUGAGAGGAUGACCCGCAACACUGGGACUGCGACAAGGCCCAGACUCCUACGGGAGGCAGCAGUGGGGAAUAUUGGACAAUGGGGGGAACCCUGAUACAGCCAUGCCGCGUGUGUGAAGAAGGCCUUAUGGUUGUAAAGCACUUUAAGCGAGGAGGAGGCUCUUUUGGUUAAUACCCAAGAUGAGUGGACGUUACUCGCAGAAUAAGCACCGGCUAACUCUGUGCCAGCCGCCGCAGUAA